UCCACAAUCGGAAAUCGAGGCACACUCGUCUCCAGACUCCUACCGGAAGCCAGCAGUGGGGGAAUAUUUGCACAUUGGGCCGCAAGCCUGAUGCAGCCAUGCGCGGUGUAUGAGAAGGGCUUCCGGGUGUUAAGUACUUUCAGGCGGGGGAGGAAAGGUGUUGUGGUAAUAACCACAGCAAUUGACGUUACCCGCAGAAGAAGCACCGGGCUAACUCGUGCCAGCAGCCGCGGUAAUACGGAGGGGUGCAAGCGUUAAUCGGAAUUACUGGGCGUAAAGCGCACGCAGGCGGUCUGUCAAGUCGGAUGUGAAAUCCCCGGGCUCAACCUGGGAACUGCAUUCGAAACUGGCAGGCUAGAGUCUUGUAGAGGGGGGUAGAAUUCCAGGUGUAGCGGUGAAAUGCGUAGAGAUCUGGAGGAAUACCGGUGGCGAAGGCGGCCCCCUGGACAAAGACUGACGCUCAGGUGCGAAAGCGUGGGGAGCAAACAGGAUUAGAUACCCUGGUAGUCCACGCCGUAAACGAUGUCGAUUUGGAGGUUGUGCCCUUGAGGCGUGGCUUCCGGAGCUAACGCGUUAAAUCGACCGCCUGGGGAGUACGGCCGCAAGGUUAAAACUCAAAUGAAUUGACGGGGGCCCGCACAAGCGGUGGAGCAUGUGGUUUAAUUCGAUGCAACGCGAAGAACCUUACCUGGUCUUGACAUCCACAGAACUUUCCAGAGAUGGAUUGGUGCCUUCGGGAACUGUGAGACAGGUGCUGCAUGGCUGUCGUCAGCUCGUGUUGUGAAAUGUUGGGUUAAGUCCCGCAACGAGCGCAACCCUUAUCCUUUGUUGCCAGCGGUCCGGCCGGGAACUCAAAGGAGACUGCCAGUGAUAAACUGGAGGAAGGUGGGGAUGACGUCAAGUCAUCAUGGCCCUUACGACCAGGGCUACACACGUGCUACAAUGGCGCAUACAAAGAGAAGCGACCUCGCGAGAGCAAGCGGACCUCAUAAAGUGCGUCGUAGUCCGGAUUGGAGUCUGCAACUCGACUCCAUGAAGUCGGAAUCGCUAGUAAUCGUAGAUCAGAAUGCUACGGUGAAUACGUUCCCGGGCCUUGUACACACCGCCCGUCACACCAUGGGAGUGGGUUGCAAAAGAAGUAGGUAGCUUAACCUUCGGGAGGGCGCUUACCACUUGGAUACAACUGU
rnacentral:rRNA from 1 species